AUUAGAUGUCAUGUGUAUGAGUGAGUAUACCAACUAGAACCACAAUUGGAAUUUUAAAAGCCUAAGUAUUAUAUCCUUGUUAGAAGAUACAAAGACAAAGACUCAUACGGACUUUGGCUACACCAUCAAAGCUUUUAGAAGCAAGAAGAAGCUUGGUUAGUGUUUUGGAGUCGAAUAUGACUUGAUGUGAUGUGUAUGAUUGAGUAUAAGAAAUUAAACCGCAACCGGAACUUAAAAGCCUAAGUAUUGUUUUCUUGUUAGAAGAAACAAAGGCAAAGCCUCAUACAGACUUUAGCUAUACCAUCAAAGCCUUGAGAAGCAAGAAGAAGCUUGGUUAGUGUUUUGGAGUCAAAUAUUACUAGAUGUCAUGUGUAUGAGUGAGUAUGACAACUAGAACCAUAACCGGAUCUUAAAAACCUAAGUAUUGAAUCUUUGUUAGAAGAUACAAAGACAAAGACUCAUACGGACUACGACUACACUAUCAAAGCUUUGAGAAGCAAGAAGAAGCUUGGUUAGUGUUUUGGAGUCGAAUAUGACUUGAUGUCAUGUGUAUGAGUGAGUAUAAAAACUAGAACCGCAACGGAUCUUAAAAGCCUAAAUAUUGUAUUCUUGUUAA
rnacentral:sRNA from 1 species